CAAGCCUUUAGGGAGGGGGCCCUCGGGCGUGACUUGAGGCCUCAGGACCUCACUUUAGAUAACCCUGGUUACGAAAGGCCUGGGUGGGGGCACCUGGGUGGCUCAGUGGUUGAUUGUCUGCCUUCGGCUCAGGGCGUGAGUGAUCCUGAGGUCCUGGGAUCGAGUCCCCGCAGGGAGCCUGCUUCUCCCUCUGCCUGUGUCUCUGCCUCUCUCUCUGUGUUUCUCAUGCAUAAAUACAUAAAAUCUUAAAAAAAAAAAAAAAAUGCCCCUGCGUGCUGUCCCGGGCCUGGAGGUCCUACUGGCUACUCGGGAGCAGUCUCACUGCCUCCACAAAAGCAAUGCAAACUUUUGCUGUGUUUCUUUUUCCUGGAUGCCAAGAAUCUCAAAUGUAAAAGCAUUGCUUAUUGAGAGCUUAAGAGCAAUGUUCUCCAAACCCAGAUUCCUGACUCAUGACUUUUCUCAUCGGAGCAAAUUUAGAAAACUAUAUAAACAGUGCCUCUUUGGUCAUAGCUGAACAAUGUGUAGGAAUGGAAGCUACAAUCGGAUGCAGGAGGCUCUAAGCAUUCUGACUAAAAUUACAUGACUGCCUUGGGCCAGAGGAGAGGGGAUGGAGGAGGAGUGG
rnacentral:lncRNA from 12 species